UUUCUUCCUUAUAUUUUUUUUCCCCAAUGACCUCCAUGGAACACCCUGACAUCUGCAACAUCCUGCAGAAAGAAGCCAUUGCUUUAACUACAUGGGGCCACAAGUGUUGUUUGUUUAGAGGCUGCCACUUGUAACAUCCUGUUUAUCACCCUGUGAAAGGCACCGAAGAACCAGUAUUGUCCAUCUCUGAAUGUAUCCUGAUUUUACAGACCACUCUCAGCACAGUCUGUGCAUUUGUGUGAAUAUUUGUGCCUAAAAAUGGGAGGAUACGCACCUGCCUUAUAGCCUAAAAUGCUCUAAAAACAGUUACUCACAUCCCACUGCUUUGUUUGCAUCAUACCUCUUCUAAUGAAUUAAGGCUUUAAAAGACUCAAAGGGCAGAAGUAUUGCCACCAAGUAAAUUACCUUAUCUUCCCCAGCUGAGAACAGUGUAAAACGAGCACAGAGAACAGGUGAGCUGUGGAAAAUCACACAAAAGGUGCAUCGAUUUCUCUUCUUUCUUCCCCCUCCCUCUUUCCCACCUCCCAGCUGGUGCCAAAAAGGAGAUAUGAGCUGCUGGGACUUCUAAGAGGAUGAGUCACCUUCUUUCAAGGCCCUGCGACUUGACUUUAAAAAAAAAAAGUCAAUGAGAGAAAAGCCUCAGCAAAGUGAAAACUAAAGUCAGGGAAAGAAAAGCCUCCAAAAAGUGAAAGCUGGCAGAUCUGCUCACACAGAGCAAUGGGGGGAUUAUUCGAGGAAGAUCUGUUAAUGGGAGCAGGAAAGGGAGCUGCCCAAAGGAGAGUGCUAGACACUAUGGACCCUUGCUAAAAAUCAUCCACCCUCUGCGGCACCACUGACCUUGGAAUCGUGUAUCCCCAGCUGGAAGGGACCCACAAGGACUAUCAGCUCCAACCAACUGACGGAAGAGUGCUGAAGGGUUCACACUGAAAGUGCUGCAGCCUUCUACAAUUUGUGGUGUUCAUUAUUAUAUUCCCCAUCUCAUAGCAUCAUUAAGGUAGGUGAAGAUGUCUAAGAUCCCCAAGUCCAAUCCCAACCCAUCCCACCAUGGUG